ensembl:lncRNA MIR663AHG MIR663A host gene
GGUGCGCACGGGCCCUGUGAGCGAUCGCGGUGGGCUUGGGCUGGUGACGCGUGCGCCGGCCGGCCGCCGAGGGGCUACCGUUCUGCCUCCGACCGGUCGUGUGUGGGUUUACUCGGAGACAGGGUCUCACUCUGUCACCCAGGGUGGAGUGCAGUGGUGCAAUUAUGGCUCACUGUAGUCUUGAUCUCCUGGGCUCAAGCAGUCCUCCCAACUCAGCUCCCAAGUAGCUAGAACUACAGAAAUACUAGGCUUUAGAAUUUCACCAUAUGAAUUUUGGGAGAGAGGAGCACAGUUCAGCCCAUAACUAACACACGACGGAAUGAAGUUGAUAAUAGUGAGACCUUGUUGGUACAAGACUAUGUAACAUAACCUGCGCUUCUCAACAAAGAAUUGCUUUUCUGACUUCUGCACUCAAUAGCAAGACAAAUCUCUCCUCUGCCUUCUCCUUAUCAGACUACUCAACAUGAAGGCAAUAAGAAUGAAGACCUCUAUGUAUAAUAAUUGACUUCCACUUAAUAAAUAAGGUUACUUGGUACACUGGUCGACAAAACCUUGAAAUGUUGAUGUUUAAGGGCUGUUGAUUGCUGGCAGCAAAGAAGUCCAACUGUGCUGGUACCCGAGAUAGCGUCUCCACAUUUUCUUCCAGGAUCAUCACCUUUGUUCUAAAUAGCUCCCACAUAGUGUGAACAGAAGUCAUAUGUUUUAGAUUUUCUGCCUUGGCACCCAGGAAACCAGUAUGAUUGAGUAAACAUAUUAAACUUCCUCUGCAUUUCCAGCCUGAACAGAUGUUGAGUACAAGCUGAUCCACCUACGUUCAACCUGAGAGAGUCCACAUCCACAGACUGUUUCAUUUCCCUUUUUCAAUUUACAUAGAAGCAUAGAUUCUUGCUGGCAUAUACAAAUGCGCCAUUUAAGGCAAUCAAAAAUGGUUCCACAUCUCAUCUGAUUUCCACAAUUGUUGCUGUAACGAUGGACUACUGAGGAGAGAGACAAUUUCUCUGGCACAUCUUCCCACAUUUUAGCAACAUGUUCAUGGAGAGCCAAUAUUCAGUAAUUACAGCCCAAUUCCUCACAAUUUCACAAUUCGCUAACAAUAUGCAUUUUCACAAUGUAAAGCUGAUUUUCCUUUAACCAAAUCAAACAUGAAAAGAUAGCUGCAUGCAAUGGGCAAUCUAGAUCAUUAGAAGAUUGAUGUAAAAUUAGAGGACACUGAGACUGGAAUAGAUUGCAAACUUCAGGGAGCUCAGAAAACUUGUAAACUCUACAUUUUGAGGAAAUAUGUUGUCGAUGCUUUUGCAACUCUAUGCAGUAACUUAACAAAUAAAGCCUUAAAGUAACUUA